UGUGCCACAGGUCCCUGUGCUGUUGGAGAGCAGAAGCUGGAAGAGUGUGGGACUGCUGUACCAAUUGUCCACGUACAAAGUGUGUCCCUUGCUGAGAUGAGGAGCCAGCAUGGUCAUCACCACGGACCCGGACAACCCAAGCCUCGUAAUGUUGGAUGUCAGUGGUGGACCCUGUGUAAACUAUAAUAUCCUGGACAAAUCCUGUCUUCACGUCACACAUGACAAAGAACUUGACCCCAAACCUGUGCCUUUUGGAGGGAAUAUAUUGACGCAACGCCAGCCUACCUUUCCAUAACAUCAGGGACUCAUCAAUGCAUAGGUCCUUGUAUGGCACAAAGACCCGACCAACUGCUUAUGUCAGGCUGCUCCAAAGCAUAGUGAUUGGUCUCCUCUACUAUGUCUCCCACCAGCUCCUCUGUCAGAAACAACUUGAAACACUCUGCCUCAGAUGGAAAUGGCAAGGGGCUUUGCACUCCAGACUGGGACUCAUCAAGCAAACAGCAGGGCCAGGAGGGGUGAAAUGGCUGGUGGCCAUCCAGUUACCACAGAGCUCCUGUACUUCAUCCACUGUCGGUCUGCCUCCAUCACCAUCAGCAUCUUCAAAGGGACCUGGGACUUCGUCAGUGGACAAGUGUUCCUCAGAUUCAGGGUUCUCAAUGGCUACAAGGUUGGGGGGCAGCUCCUCACGGUCACUGUCACUGUCAGAAUCCGAUUCCUGACUUUCAUACUCAGACUCAUUGUCAGAAUUUGUGAGUUGUCUCCUUUUGAAAGACAUUGCUAAUGCUACAGUUUAGCUCACUAGCUACACACAUAAACUACAACACUGAAUGGCUCAGUGAGAGGUUGAGUGAGAGGUUACGUGAUUGACUGCCAGCACGCGCCACUUGUAUCAAUAAAUCACUAUCAGAGAAUGUUUGUGGUAAUUAUUUAUGGGUGAUUAUGCAACUACGGGCACUUCCAUGUCCUCAGGUAAAUUUUGGGGAUUUUAUACAAAAUAAAACAAAUACUUGUAUGUUAAGUUCACACUGCAACCACCCCAUACUUUUUUAAACACCUCUCUAUCAAGUAUUUUAGCUACAUUUUAGAUGCAUUGUAUACCUCAAUUUCACUAUUUUGCCCAUGUCUCUGACUCAGAAUUGUAAGCUUCUACUAUGUUUUUCUAUGGGAAAACAUUAAUAAUUACGCAUUAUAUAAUGUUAUGUACUACAGAAAGAGUCAAUUAAAUAAAAUCUAUAUCAAUA